rnacentral:rRNA from 1 species
GGAAGGGGUGUAUUUAUUAGAUAAAAAACCAAUGCCCUUCGGGGCUCUUUGGUGAUUCAUGAUAACUUUACGGAUCGCAUAGCCUUGCGCUGGCGACGGUUCAUUCAAAUUUCUGCCCUAUCAACUUUCGAUGGUAAGGUAUUGGCUUACCAUGGUUUCAACGGGUAACGGGGAAUUAGGGUUCGAUUCCGGAGAGGGAGCCUGAGAAACGGCUACCACAUCCAAGGAAGGCAGCAGGCGCGCAAAUUACCCAAUCCCGACACGGGGAGGUAGUGACAAUAAAUACUGAUACAGGGCUCUUUUGGGUCUUGUAAUUGGAAUGAGUACAAUUUAAACCUCUUAACGAGGAACAAUUGGAGGGCAAGUCUGGUGCCAGCAGCCGCGGUAAUUCCAGCUCCAAUAGCGUAUAUUAAAGUUGUUGCAGUUAAAAAGCUCGUAGUUGAAACUUGGGCCUGGCUGGCGGGUCCGCCUCACCGCGUGCACUCGUCCGGCCGGGCCUUCCUUCUGAAGAACCUCAUGCCCUUCACUGGGCGUGUUGGGGAAUCAGGACUUUUACUUUGAAAAAAUUAGAGUGUUCAAAGCAGGCCUUUGCUCGAAUACGUUAGCAUGGAAUAAUAAAAUA